rnacentral:lncRNA from 1 species
AGUCGCACUUCUGCUAAAGAGGGAGGAAGAGCCAUUCGCUGGUGACCCUGUGAUUAAGGAUCCCGCGCCGUCACUGCGGGGGCUUGAGUCGCUGCUGUGGGGCAGGCUUGACCCCUGGCCCGGGAACUUCUGCAUGCUGUGGGUGUGGCCAAAAGGGGGGGUGAAUAACGGGCGAGGGGCGGGGGUGUGUGAAGGCAGCGGAGAUGGGAGUUCCCUUGGUGGCUCAGUGGAUUACACACUGGACUCGUACCCCUGAGGACGCAGGUUCAAUCCCUGGCCGAGCUCCGUGGAUGAAGGAUCUGGCAUUGCCGUGAGCUUGGUGUACAUCACAGAUGCGGCUUGGAUUCAGCAUUGCUGUGGCUGGGGCGAAGGCCGGCAGUUGUAGCUCUGAUUCCACCCCUAGCCUGGGAACUUCCAUAUGCCAUGGCGGUGGCCCUAAAAAGAAAAAAAGAAAAAAAAAAAAAAAAGGCAGCAGAGCUGGACGUUUCGGGACUCUCAGAGGUUGUUUAUGGGCGUGGUGCGCUAUUACUACAGGCCGCACACCCAGACAACACUGUGUGAGGGUUGCUGCUUACCUGGAAACUCCGGGCACCAGGACUCUAACUGCAAGAGUUAGAAGGGGUCCACCCUGGGUAUCUGGCUAUAAUAAGAGCUGGCGGCUGUCUGUGACCCAGGACUCGAGGAAGAGAGCGAACAAAAGGAAGUAUCGAGAAUGCCUGAACCCACGCGAGGACAUAAGGCCAAUCCAGCUACUCCCAGCUAACUUAUAAUUUUAUGCCACACAUGGUGCAGAAGGAUAUACGAAGGAGUUCUGGCUUAACCUCCCACAUUCUCCUCCCUAAAGAUUGAGAAAAACUCUUAGCCAGGGUUGGCUAAGAGAAUGUUCUGGUCUGGUCUGAAGUCUUCUACAUUUUGGGUUUUCAAGUUCCGGCGAUUUUCCUGAGCAUAUUCCACGUAGGUCCUUGGCACAAACCUCCGGCAGGGUUAUGACUCUCCAUGGGAUUGGUUCAAAUGUCACUUCACGCACUAAACAGUCCGUAAUAGUGUCUCUGAGGAGGUCUGCUCUCUGCCCGUGACUCCUGACUGCGGCUUUGCAAAGGGUUUCCUCCCAGAAAGUCUGCAGACCCAUGGUGCUGGUCAGUUGCAUUUGGCUUCUGCCCAUUUGCGUCCGACGAGACAAUACUCAGCUUCUUUGGGUGGCAAGAGUGACCUCUUUACCUGGGACCAUCCUCUGAGGCAGCGCAGGUGUGCUGGGACCCUUCGUGGGUGGUCCCUCAUGAGGUUUUAGGGAGGAACCGCUGGGGGGCUUCCUGUUCACCAUUUCACCCUCAGCAUCGUGGGGCUGAACGUCUUUGGGUGCUAGAGACCCAAAGAAUCCAGGUCCUUAAAAGAAAACCAUCCAGGUGUUCCCUCCUUCCUUCCUUCCUCUGUAAUGGCUGCACCCCCGGCAUACGGAGGUUCCCGGGCUAGGAGCCAAAUCGGAGCUACAGCUGCCGUCCUACGCCACAGCCACAGCAGCACACGGGAUCCCAGCCGCGUCUUCCACCUACACCACAGCUCACGCAGCCCUGGAUCCUUAACCCAUGGAGCGAGGCCAGGGAUCAAACCUGCAUCCUCACGGAGACAACAUCGGGUCCUUCACCUGCUGAGCCACAAUGGGAACUCCCAUCUAGGUUUUGAUAGUCAGGAACUAAAUUCAAUGCAUUGAAUUUCAUUAUCGCGGGAACACCUUUUCGGUGCUGGGUGAUGUAUUAGGAGUCUCACAUACACACGCCCAUCAAGUUCUCAGAAUAUCUUUAUGAGGCAGGUAUUAUAUGCACAUCUUACAGAUGACGAAACUGAGACAAUUACUUGGCUUAUACAGAGUCAAGUUCACACAGUCCCUGGGAGAUCAGAUCUAGGACUUAAAAAAAUUGGGGAUGGUUGGUGAAAACAUAUAAAAUUGACCAUCUUAACUAUGUUAAGUUAUACACCAGUAGCGCUACCUCUAUUCACAUAACGUGCAAAAGAUUUUUGGCAUUUUUUCAUCUUGCAAAACUGAAAUUCUAUACCCACUGAACAAAUCCUCUUCUCCCCUCCCUGCAGCCUCUGGCAACCACUAGGCUACUUUCUGUUUCUGUGAGCUGGACCACUCUGCAUACCGCCUAUAAGUGGAAUCAUACCUACUACUUUUUGUGUGACUGGCUUGUUUCACUGAGCAUAACAUCCUCAAGAACCAUCCAUACUGCAGCAAGUGUCUGACUCUCAUUCCUUUGGUAAUAUUCCAUUGUACUGGCAUAUUUUCUUACAGAUCUAGGAUUUGAAUCCAAGUUUGCGAGGCUCCGAAACUAUCCUAUUUAUGCUCCUUUGUGCCUGCACCACGUCACCUUGUCAGUGCUUUAAGGGGGGAUUGUCAAGUUCACGUACAUUGAAUGCAAGAGAAGCGAGAUGGUGGUGCCCUGGCUCUGUUCCUGGCGCUCUGAGCUCAGGGGUGGAGUGGCAGAGGGCUGACAGGCCCCCCACUGACCUACAGCCUUCUAGGGGGCACCUGUCUUUCUCAUCACACAGAGCCCACCUCCCCAUCCUCUGGUUCACGCCCCCCCCACCGCUGCCCCCGUCCCCGUCAGCACACGCCCUGGCCUCUCCUAUCAGUCACGUACCAAGGUCUCCAGCUGAAUAUAAAUAGCCCCGAGACCUCAAACUCCCCACCCUUCCUCACCCAGCCUUCCCUCUUGCCCAACUUCUCUGUCCUCAUGGGUUGUGCCAGUGUCCUGUUGCUUCUGCAAGUCUGAGGCUUCGGUAAUCUCUGCCGCCUCUCUGGUUUUCGUCACCCACUGUGGGUGCCAAGCACGGCAGCUUCCUCCUCUAUAGUCUGUGUCUUUCCCUUCCCCGGAAUCCCAUCCAAAUCCCUUGACCGGGACCAGAUGGCUUUGCACCUGCAACAGGGUUCUUCCUAUGGGCCCCCAGCACCCUCCCACCCACUCCUCCCCGGCUCCAAGGACUGGUCCUGAACCGUCUGACCUGUACCCAUUUCUCCUGCUGGGCCAGGAUUCUGCUCUCUUGGGCCCUCUAGAAUCAUCUCAUCAAAUCCAUCUCAACGCUACCCUGCUCAGUUCUUUCCCCCAGCUGCUCACCCACAUCCUCCUUGGUCAGCACUGUUCUGCUCAAGAGUCUUUCCUGGGAGUUCCUGUUGUGGCUCAGCAGAAACGAAUCUGACGAGUAUCCAUGAGGAUGCAGGUUUGAUCCCUGGCCUCGCUCAGAGGGUUAAGAAUCCGGCGUUGCUGUGACCUGUGGUGCAGGUCGAAGACGAGGCUCGGAUCCGGCAGGGCUGUGGUGUAGGCUGGCAGCUACAGCUCCGAUGCGGCCCCUGGCCUGGGAACCUCCAGGGUUAAACCUCCAUAUCUUAAAAAGACAAAAACAAAAAAAGUCUUUCCCGGCCCCACCUCACAUUCACCUCCAAGUCGUGGACACUCACCCAUGCCUCCCGGGUCCUGGGCGGCCUCUCUUGUCCACUGCCAAAAGCCCCCACUCUCUGCUUCUCCCUCCCCGUCCCUGGUGCAUUUCAUCACACUGUCUCACUUGUCAUUUCUGACCUUCCUCAGGUUUUGAUGCAAUUAACCUGUGCCUUUAUAUCAGAAUAAACUCGAUGUGGUUUUAUCGUUCUUUUCA